ACUCCGACUAUUGUUAGUUCGGUUCCGACUCCGGGCGGAUCUAGUGGUUCCAUUUUGCCGGAGUCGGAACCGAACUAACAAUAGUCGGA
rnacentral:pre_miRNA from 1 species